rnacentral:lncRNA from 1 species
AGACUAACAUAAAUUCAAUAAAUAAAAUAUUUUUCAAACACUUUAUAAAUUAAAAAAUUUAAUAAUUUCAAAUAAAAAUUAUAAGGAAAAUAAAUGAUUUUGGGCUGUGACAGGGGUCGAUGGAGGCGGCAAAUGCAGGAGGCUCUAAGGCUUGGGUGAGGUCGGCGAGGGAAGGAGGCGGUGAGGGCGUCAGGGCGAGGCCAGGAGGUGUUGAGGGCCAAGGUGCCGAGAUCUGAUUCCAAAUUGCAGAGGACAAGGUCAAUGAGGGAAGGGGGCGGUGAGGGCGAAGGCGGGGGCGAGGGCGGCGAGAUCUGCACCCAAAUCUUCUAACCAUCUUCUCGAGCCAACACAGAUGCGUCGAGGGAAGGAGGCCGGCGAGGAAGAGGGCGACGGCUGAGACGCGGUGGACGGCUGCGACACUCUAUCUCGUCCUCCGCUGCGGCGGCUCUGGUAGCUUCACGCGAGUAUCUUUCUGCAGUUCGUGGCCAAGACGUGGUGUGGUCGCCUGAUCUAAUCAAUGAAAUUUCAGACUUUCAAUGAAACUCAAGGGUAAAUUUGUAAACCUUAAAUUUAAUCAAGAACACUGUAGCAUUUUGUCAUACACAAUUGAGGGGGGUCGCCAGAUGGGGAAGAUGGGUGUAACAGUGAUUUUGGCCUGGGCUGCUCCUAAUACACGGGCCCAACGCGUUGUGGACAAAGCUACCAAACACAAAGUUAAGUAUGUUUACCUUUGUUAAUCCGACUUCAAGCCUUCAACCAACGCACCAAACACACCCGGAGUUGAACAAAUAUAAAGUUAUUUAAGCAAUGCCAUUGUAAUACAACUUGC